UCCACCGCGCACUCGCACGAGCAGUGCGCGCGCGCCGCCCUCCGCGCAGCUCGCGCUCAUGGGGCUCGACGCGCCCUCGCCCGCGCCGGGGAUGCAAAGUGUGCCUGCGACAGGCGGCGGGCCGAAGCCGAGCACGGUGAAUGGCAUCGCAGAGUGAGCAGGCGGCAGCUACUGUACUGGCGUGAAUAUCUCACAGCGCGGAAGUAGUUCGGGCGACGCGUGCAUGCUGCGACUUGUCGUUCCAGCUAUGAUAUAUUCACAAGCGCGACAUUUUGAUCUCGGGUCUUGCAACAUAUUUAGUUCAUUUUUUAAUUCUAAACGUUUCCUAUUAUGUUAGAAUGACAUAUUAUGUAUAUUUUUUGUUAUACACGCGCGAUCUGUGGGGGAGCCGUUUUAGUUAUUCUCGAAAGAUGUUUGUUUUUCAUUGAAACAUUUCCGCUCACAAACUAGGUGUACAUUUUUUAUAUUAUUUUUAUUGAUACUUAUACAUUUUAUUGCAAACGGAUUAUGUUCUAUUGAGCAGAGGAGGUUGGCUCAUCUCGAUUAUUGUUAAGAGUAGUUCCAAAUAGAUUAUACUUAUAUCCACAACAUUAUGUAAUAAUUGGUUAUAUUUAUAUGAUAAAGCGUAGCUGAUUUCUUAGGUAGGUAAUUGGACAUGUAUCAAUAAAAUUAUGUAGAGAAACGAAUAAUAUAUCGAAACUGAGGCUGUGAGGCCAAACCAAAACAGUUUCAUUGGGAUUCGGCGACCGUCGCGACCUCGUGCGUCGUUAGUGACGUAAUUAAAUUAUAAUAAAAGCUCAUUAUAUUCAUGCAGUGCAGAGCGUUCGUCAUGCAUGAAAUAAUGAUGAAACAACAGCUGCAUCAUGUAACGGCCAAUAAAAAGAUCGAGAAGUCGAUAAAAUGCAUGGCAUAUCGUUAGAAUUUACUGGUUCGCAUGUGAUGUGUUUUUUAUAAUCCAGUAAAAUAAGCUGUAUACCAUAUUGAGUCUUCUCGAGCCUCGCGUUACAUGGUGUCGCGUGUUGCGGCCCGACGCGUGCAUCAUGCGGCCAUGGUGUUAGCGUAGGUAGGCGACGAACGUUGUGGCCUCGAUUUUAAACCAACAACUAGUGGGUGAGCGUUCAAAUUUCCCCCGACCCUAAGCUAUGAAAUGUGUAAUUCUAGAAGUAAGCUUCGACAGGACUGGACGACUAGCGAUUGCGCUCCUUCGACUUAGGCUAAGGUUGGAAGUUGCUUGUUAAUUUUAGGCUCUAUGUAACCUUCGUCUAAUGCAUGUACCCCUAAUGAAGUAGUAUAGCGUUUGACUAAUCGUAAAGCAAUUUUUCUCUAGGUGUAAAGUAUGAUAAGUGAACACGACUGACCGAGGCCGUUGUUUGUCGACUUGCGUCGCGGCCCGGUCGGUCGUACAAGUGUACUGCCGAUUGUACAUUUCAUUGUAUUGGGUCCGAUUAUACACUUUAUUACUUAGGAGGUAUCCUAUUGCUAUGUACUACUAUUAGGUAAUCGACUUCGAGUAAGCAAAAUGUGCUUACUCGCGAGCUGAUUUUAAGAUGGUACCAAUUUUACCUACGAACUCAAUUCUAUUUUAAUUUGUUGAAACGAUUUUAAAUCGAGGCCAUCGAGAAAAUUUCUUCAUGUUAAAAGUUGCACAAGUAACAUAGCAUAAAGAAAUUAAUUAUAAAGACGCCACGAGGGCAUUAAGAAGCGUUUUAUUUAUUUUGUUCUAAGCAACUAAUAUUUUAUAUUGGAGGGCAAAGCAAGUCCCAAUGAACUUUGUGCUUUUAGCAAUAAAUUGUAAGGAUACAACAAUAAAGUUAAAUAUUUA